CAGUCACCACGGUAAUACGUAGGGUGCGAGCGUUAAUCGGAAUUAUUGGGCGUAAAGCGUGCGCAGGCGGUUAUAUAAGACAGAUGUGAAAUCCCCGGGCUCAACCUGGGACCUGCAUUUGUGACUGUAUAGCUAGAGUACGGUAGAGGGGGAUGGAAUUCCGCGUGUAGCAGUGAAAUGCGUAGAUAUGCGGAGGAGCACCGAUGGCGAAGGCAAUCCCCUGGACCUGUACUGACGCUCAUGCACGAAAGCGUGGGGAGCAAACAGGAUUAGAUACCCCCGUAGUCCCUGUCUCUUAUAC
rnacentral:rRNA from 1 species